rnacentral:RNase_P_RNA from 1 species
GUGGACAGACGAUCGCUGUUAGAGACUUGUCUUUGAUGGAGGAAAGUCCGAACACCGCAGGACACGGUGGUGGGUAACGCCCACCGGCCUCGUCGCGAGGCUAGGGACAGUGCCACAGAAAAUAUACCGCCACCCCCGGAAGUUCAGGAUCGUGGCUUGCUGCGAUUCAAAGUUCCAGGGGGGUAAGGGUGAAAAGGUGCGGUAAGAGCGCACCGCUCGGCUGGUGACAGUCGGGGCAGGGUAAACCCCACCGGGUGCAAGCGCAAGCAGCCCUCCGCCGGAACGAAAGCUUCCGGGAACCAUGGUCCGUGGCAUGAGGGCGGGUAGCGUGCUCGAGGUCGUCGGCAACGGCGAUCCCAGAUGAAUGGUCGUCAUCCCGACUCGGGUCGGGAUACAGAAUUCGGCUUAUGUCCACACGC